rnacentral:lncRNA from 1 species
UGGAGGCCCGAGGCAGAAUCUCACAGCACAAGCAGGAAAUAGGAGGGCCAGCAUCUGUGACUGUAGACGCUCCCGGGCACAGGCUGCGCUGACUGGCACCUUCUCUCCUGCCUGCAAUUCUGAGCCCGCCUCCUCUUCCCUACAGCUGUGGUCACUUCUACAGUUUCCAGUGGCUACGGCGGUGGCACCAACAUCGGAGGUGGAAGCCUGGGUCUUGGCGGGAACAGUGGCUACUCCUUCACGACCACUGGUGGGCACAGCCUGGGUACAGGUCUGGGAGGCUCUGGCUUUACCACCAGUAGCAGCCGGGGCCCAGUGGGCAGUGGCUCCAGCAUCAAGUUUGUCUCCAGCACGUCAUCCAGCAGGAAGAGUUACAAGCACUGAGGUGGUCAGCCGGCAGUCCCCCUUGCCACUGCUCCGAAGCCUCUCAUACAUUUAUAACUGGAUGUCUGGGCCCUUGUCCUGUAUCCUCUUCAUAGUAGCCACCUCCCCAGCUGCCAGGGAUCCUGGCAUCCCGGCUGAACCCAUUCCCUGGCCUAUGGCAGCCUCCCGACAGCCCUAGGCUGCUCCUGGUACUUCUUUGUGUUAGACACAUAGACCCAAAGCUCGCACCCCUCCAAAGUUCACAAUCAGUGGAUCUGCCAGAGCCGGACAUCUGCAAACGCCUCUUCAGUGCCACCGGCCCCUUUCCUCCAGGUGCAGCAGCACUGGAGGAGUCCGUGUCUCCCAGUCCACCUCAACACCAGGCUGUCUUGUCCCUCUCUGGCUGCUUACACACUGCCAGCUGGAGUCAAAGCUCCUCUGUUUCCUCCUGGAAUGCGCCUAUUAAAUCCAUGUGUCAUGUGUUUGGCUCA